rnacentral:rRNA from 1 species
AGCGAACGUUAGCGGCGGGCCUAACACAUGCAAGUCGAACGCGAAAGGUCUUCGGACUGAGUAGAGUGGCGCACGGGUGAGUAACACGUAGGUAAUCUACCCUUUGGCGGGGGAUAACGUUCCGAAACGAACGCUAAUACCGCAUACGCCCGAAAGGGGAAAGAUUUAUCGGUGAUGGAUGUGCCCGCGUUGGAUUAGCUUGUUGGUGGGGUAACGGCCUACCAAGGCGAUGAUCCAUAGCUGGUCUGAGAGGACGAUCAGCCACGCUGGGACUGAGACACGGCCCAGACUCCUACGGGAGGCAGCAGCUAAGAAUAUUGGACAAUGGGGGAAACCCUGAUCCAGCCAUGCCGCGUGAAUGAAGAAGGCCUCGGUUGUAAGUUACUUUAGUUAGUGAAGAUGAUGACAGUAGCUACAGAAAAGACACCGGCGUAACUUACGUGCCAGCAGACGCGGUAA